rnacentral:rRNA from 1 species
UUACAAAAAGAAGGCCUUCUUCACCCACGCGGUAUGGCUGGAUCAUGCUUGCCCCCAUUGUCCAAUAUUCCCCA